rnacentral:rRNA from 1 species
UACGUACUGUGCGAACGUUAUUCGGAAUCACUGGGCUUAAAGGGUGUGUAGGCGGCUAGCUAAGUAGGGUGUGAAAGGCCUCGGCCUAACCGAGGCAUUGCGCUCUAAACUGACUGGCUUGAGUAAGAUAGGGGUGUGCGGAACUUCCAGUGGAGCGGUGAAAUGUGUUGAUAUUGGAAGGAACGCCGGUGGCGAAAGCGGCACACUGGGUCUUUACUGACGCUGAGACACGAAAGCUAGGGGAGCAAAUGGG